AUUAAUGCUGACGGCGUGCCUAAUCUAUGUAAGUUGAUGCUUUGCGUAGCAAUACAAAAAGCAUGGCAGACGAGUGAGUAACGCGUAGGAAUCUACCCUUAAGAUGGGAAUAACCCCGGGAAACUGGGGAUAAUACCCGAUGUGAUCGCAAGAUUAAAGAAGCAAUUCGCUUAAGGAUGAGCCUGCGUCCUAUCAGCUAGUUGGCGGGGUAAAAGCCCACCAAGGCUAUGACGGGUAGGGGGCGUGAGAGCGUGAACCCCCACGAUGGCACUGAGAUACGGGCCAUACACCUACGGGUGGCAGCAAGUAGGAAUAUUGCACAAUGGAUCAAUUUUUGAUCUGAUGCAGCGACGCCGUGUGAAGGAAGAAGGCUUUCGGGUUGUAAACUUAUUUUAAAAAGGAGCGGCAAACUUCGU
rnacentral:rRNA from 1 species